rnacentral:rRNA from 1 species
UACAGAGGGGGCAAGCGUUGUUCGGAAUUACUGGGCGUAAAGGGCGCGUAGGCGGCCGCCUAAGUCAGACGUGAAAUCCCUCGGCUCAACCGGGGAACUGCGUCUGAUACUGGGUGGCUUGAAUCCGGGAGAGGGAUGCGGAAUUCCAGGUGUAGCGGUGAAAUGCGUAGAUAUCUGGAGGAACACCGGUGGCGAAGGCAGCUCGCUGGGACGGUACUGACGCUGAGACGCGAAAGCGUGGGGAGCAAACAGG